GCGUCACUAGCUCAAUUGGUAGAGCAGCGGACUCUUAAUCCGUUGGUUCCUCCGAGGCAUUCCGGAGGCUUCUUUUUUGUCCCGGGUAAAGUG
rnacentral:tRNA from 1 species